rnacentral:lncRNA from 1 species
CAUGAUAUGUUGUAAAAUAGUACAGAUUGUGCAACAAAUGCUUUGUCUGUGACUGCAUAUUUGCCUGGAGCAGCUUCGUGGACUGUGUGCAUCCAUGCGCUCUUUUUUUAAUACUCCCUUGAAGAGUCUGAGCUUUUUCCACUUACAGAAUAGUUGGUGUCAGUGCCAGGAAAAAAGUACUUUCCUGCACAGUCUUGGUCAGGAAAAUGCUAAAGCUCUGGAGAUGUUCUCUAGCAGUGUCACUUGCUGCUUCCCCUACUGCCAUCUUAGCAAAGCACAUCAGCCUGAAUAAUGUCCUAAAUGGAGUGUCAAACCUUCUUGAGCAGGAUUGUGUUGAUGUGUUGUAUUUCACACAGGCAGUAGAGCCAAGAAACCCCUCAGGGUGUCUCAGACCACACCUGAGCAGAGCUUUGCUGGCAGCGAUGAUGUUCAAUGCACCUUCCUUUAUUACAGCCCAGUUUUUCCAGACUUGCAGUAUCUUUGCAGCCUGGGAGUCUUAGAAGACAGGUGAUGGAGAAGCUGUUUCUGUCCAAGACAUGCCUAUAGGUGUAGUGGAGAAGGGGAGAGAUGGGUGGAUAUUCAAGAGAGAUCCAUACUGGACUUGAUUGGACUCAAUGACCUUAGAAGUCCUUUCCAGCCCAAAUGAUUCUAUGGUUCAUUCUGUUCUUAUCCAUCAACUUCCUGAAUUGCUGAAAUACAGCAAAGCCCAGGGCCAUUUAGAGGUCUUUAUACCCAGUCAAAGAUCUAGGUCUGACCUGGUGGGGUGGGAUAACCUGCCUUUUCUAAUCCAGCUUCACCUGUGGAAGGUGAUCAAAUGGCCCUCUGCUCUUUGUCCAACACCCACACCACUGUAAAAUCCAGCUGAUGAUAAAAGCCUAAGAUAGCUGAAAAAUUGUACAGUCAAAAGAGAAUUUCUAUGUACUGGUGCAAGAAAAGAGUCUGUGAUAUCAGCCGUAUUCUUCAGCUGCAUCAGCAGUCCCCAUCACCUCACAAUUCCUUUGGAAAAUUGGACAGAAAUGAGGACAUACCUCGUGAUAUCUGAUGCCUGGAGGACCACUCAGCUGUCUUGGACUUGCAAAUACACUUAACCUGAGCAGUCAAUCAUUCUUGAAACUUGGUACCAAACUCUCCUUUUAUUUCCUCUGAUAAAAAGGUUUCAAUGUAGUACUGGUUUUACCAGGAAUUAAACUGCCAGCUUUAGUGUGACAUAUGGCAUUUUGUUGUAUCAACAAUUAGGUAUUUACAGGCAUGUCAUUUUAUGCCUAAGGCCAGCUUCUGCCAAGAAGGAAGGAUUUGCACAUAUGAUGCAGAUUUCCAUAAAUAAGGAGCUUAGGUAGAAUAGCAGAGUACUGGAAGAUUGUGCUCAAGUCUGAUUGUACCAUGAAGAAUUGUAAUUUCUCCUUGCUUAUUCCAUCUUGGUACAGCAAUGCACUUACCCCUGACCAUUCCCUACAGUGUGUGACAUAGAAAAUAAUUUUCCGUUCUUUUUACGGAAUUAAAUUAGCACUUUUACAAUUCCUCCUUCAGGAUGUUUAAGAAUAUAUAGGGAAGCUGCUUCUAAUCUCCAGCUGACACACACACACAGUUUUAUACUUCCAGUAUAAGUGAAAUUUGCUCCAAUCCCCUGGUUGCUUCCUUGUCGAGUGCUCUUCUGCAGUGCAUAUGAAAUCUCUGACUUUUAAAAUAGUUAAAAAUAGCUAUGGGUUAAAAGCACUUGAACCUUCUCAUACUCUUUGAAGACUAAUUUAGGAAACCUGACAGGGUUCAUCAUUCUGUUCCUGAUCACUACAAUCUAUUAACAGCGUUGGUGGUGAAGUACCAGCUAGACAAAGGGAAAAUGACUGCUCUCAAGUAAGCUAUUAAAAUAAAAAGAUAUUAAGCAAAAGGCUUGGACAUAAUUCAGUAAUGACCUUCAUCAGCUGAAAUGUUUUUGUGUCUUAAGUGAAUUAAUGAGCUAUAAUUAUUAGCGUUCUUGGAGAUGGAGAUCCGAGAAUGCAUUUUGCAUAAUGCAAACAGAACAACACAAAUGGAAGCCCAGUCUGUCUCAAUCAGACAAGGUCUCUUUUGUUAUAAUUAAAUGUUAUCACCUUCAUUACUUCUUAAAACGUGCUUCACAGUUUAUACUUUGACAUGCUCAUACCACCACACCAUUGCUAUUUAUGGUACAGUCACAUCUGCCAUAGCAAUGGAGGUUUUGAAAAUGUUUUACCUGACUUUUAACAGAUGGAUGUUAAUAGGAUAUUUAUUUACAGAAUAAAAUUAAAUUGAAACUGAAUCUUAAUGCACAAUUUACAUAAUCAGCUUUGUUCUGAGCUGGUGAGCUGGUUUUCCAGCACUUGGGACCCUUCAGCCACAGCUGCAUCAAAGAAACAGCCACUGAGAAUGGAGAUUAAACAAUUUCCUAAAGCUUCAAGUCUUGAUGAGAAUCUAUUUUUCCAUAUUAGAAUACCAUAAUUUCUCCAGACACUGCCAUAAGAUCAAAGAUGUAUGUUAGAGCUUUGGCAUAGCCCACGAUCAAAAGGAAGAUGUUCAAUUUGUAUUUAGAAAACAUUUCUGCCAAUUAUAUUUUUCUGAUUAUUUGAAUUUUUUGUGAUUUUACCUUUUGCACCGAAAGCAUUUAAAAAAAAUCUAUGAAAUCAGAGGCAUAGAAAGGUUGAAAAACCAAAAGGUUUGCAACAAAUUUGCAACAAAUUAGGUGAGAUUUGCUCAUAUUAUUUGUGCAAUCUACUGACAACUCUCAGCCCUGCUGACACUCAGCUCAGCUGGGGUUUUGGCACAGGCUUCAAGUGGCACAGGGCAGAAGCCUCAGAUGCAACACUAAAAACUUGCUUGGUGCCUAACCCCUAUCUCUGAGGCUGCACGAAUGGCUGUAGGGCUGCAUCAGGUUGUUCUGACCUAAGUGUAGGACCCAGAAUUUUUCCUUGUUGAACCUCACACAAUUGGCUUCAGCCCAUUGAUGCGGCCUGUUCAGAUCCUUCUGCAGAGCUUUCCUGCCUUCCAGCAGAUCAACACUCUCACUCAACUCAGUGUCAUCCACAAACUGACUGAGGGUACACUCUGUCCUCUUAUCCAGAUCAUCAUUGAGGAUACUAAACAGGACCAGCCCCAAUACUGAGCUCUGGUGACAUCACCGGUGACUGGCCACCAACUGGAUGUACCCCAUUCACCACAACUCUCUGGGCCUGGCCAUCCAACCAGUUUAUAGCCCAGAACCCCAGAACCCAUCCAAGCUGUGAACAGCCAGUUUCUCUAGGACAGUGUUGUGCAAAACUGUGCCAAAGGCUUUACUAAAGUCAACGUAGACAACAGCCUUUCCCUCAGCAAUAAAGCAAGUCACCUUGUCACAGCAGGAGAUCAGGCUGGUCAAGCAGGACGUGCUUUUCACAAACCUGUCCUGGCUGGGCCUGAUUCCCUGUUUGUUCUUCAUGAUUCACAUGAUGACACUCAAGAGGAUCUGCUCCAUAACCUUUUCCUCUACCAAGGUGAGUUUGACAGGCCUGUAGCUCCCCAAACCCUCCUUCCACUUGACUGGCGGUUAAAGAGUUGACUCACAUUUAGCCAGGACUGCUGGUAAAUAAAUGGUGGGGAGUGCCUUGUGAGCCCUUCCACCAGCUCCCUCAAUACCCUUGGGUGGAGCCCAAUCAGCCUCAUACACCUGUGUGUGUCUGAGUGAUGAGGAAGGUCACCGACCAUCCACCCUCGGGCCUUGGGGGCUUCAUUCUGCUCCCUGCUCCUGUCUUCCACCUCAGAGGGCUGGGUGCCCUGAGAACAACUGGUCUUACUGCUAAAGCCUGAGGCAAAGAAGGCAUUAAGUUCCUGAAGUCUUUUCUUCAUUCUUUGUCACUUUGUUUCCUCCCACAUCAACUUAAGGGUCAAGGAAUUCCUUAGCCUUCCUUUUCUUACUGAUGAAUUUAUAGGAGUAUAAACCAGAUUAAGUUUUAUUUGGGAUUUCACACUUUUAAUUUUCUCCUUGUAUAACCUCACAAUUUCCUAGAGCUCCUCCUAAGUUGCCUUCCCCUUAUUGUCAUAAACUCACAUAUUUUUUCCCCUUAGCUCCAUCCAAAGCUCUCUGUCAGCCAUUCAUCAAGUGAUGUGACCAUGUCUCAGGCCCUGACUCUCCCCAACUAACCUUGGCCACUCCAGGCUCUCUGCAGUCAGCAGAGAAAGACCUGUACUCUCUGGCAAUCCUGCCUCCACCAGCUGCAGAAGUGACCUCAGGUGGCCAUGGGUCUCAAUUGCUGCUUUCAUUUCAGUGUCUCCACUUAGCUGAGAUGAAUACCACUUUGGAAAAUGGGUAAGGUUUUAAAGCUUUCUUCUUUAAAACCAGCCAACAGCCACUGUAAGAAUUUCUUUAGGAAACUUAUCUGAGGAGUUACUCCCCCUCUUCUUUGCACCUCACUGCUGGAAUAUUUUGAAUAAUCUGUGCUCAAAUUGGAUGUAAAAAAGGAAGAUUACUAGUCCAGAUUCAGCAUAAAUGUUGAAAGACUUCCACUUUAUCCUGCAUUUAAAUGUACACUUAUGUCUAAUUCUGAGCUAAACUGGAAUAGGGUGGGAACUGGCAGGGAAGAAUAAACUGGGCUGCUGAGAACACCAAUGAAUAGUCUGCACCACUAUGGAGAGGAUGGCUUCUGGCCAGCACAAUAGCUUUUGUAGUACACCCUCAACUUCAUGAAAUCACAAGCAAAGCUCUGGGAAAACAGUCUUCAGCAGUUAACAGGAGUGAGCCAGGGCUCAAGGAAGCUCAUAGCACUUUGAAAAAAUUCCGAAAUUACAGUUUAGGGAUGAGAGGAUGUGGUGGGGCUGCUGAGAUGAGCACAGAAGGCCAGGGUGGGUGUUCUAUGAAGACAGUAUAAACCCAGAUGUAUUAGAUUGUCUAGUAAAAAAAUGAGAACAGGAAAGUCAGCAUUUGCACAGCUAGAGGCAAUAAUCCAAUUCACAGGGAAGUAAGAAGCUGAUGAUGACCUUGCCAAAAAUCCAGCUUUCCAAAAAUAGUCCCGAUAAAUGAGUAGUAAAAAAUAAGGACCUAAUCAGCAACAAUAAGGAGAGAGACAGAAAGUUUGUCUCUCUGCAAAAGGUAAAUUAUGCACUAUAAGAAUGACAUCCAUCCAUUUCAAGCCAGAAUAGCUACCAAUUUCCAGGGACUUGUAAACCAGUGAGCAGACAAGAAAAAUGUAUUAAACUUAUUUAAUUUUUUCCUAAGCCUGCCUAAGUUUUAUUAUAAUUGAUAAGCUUUUUCCUAUAAAUGCUUGCUGUUGCACUUUUCUUCCAUUUGUACAUGAAGUAGUGUGGAAAAGCUGUCAGUCUAACCAUUCUCAGCAGCACACACACUAGAGAUGGAGACCUAU